CCUACGGGGGGCUGCAGUGGGGAAUAUUGGACAAUGGGGGGAACCCUGAUCCAGCCAUGCCGCGUGUGUGAAGAAGGCCCUCGGGUUGUAAAGCACUUUCAGUGAGGAAGAACGCCUGGUGGUUAAUACCCAUCAGGAAAGACAUCACUCACAGAAGAAGCACCGGCUAACUCCGUGCCAGCAGCCGCGGUAAUACGGAGGGUGCGAGCGUUAAUCGGAAUUACUGGGCGUAAAGCGCGCGUAGGUGGCUUGAUAAGCCGGUUGUGAAAGCCCCGGGCUCAACCUGGGAACGGCAUCCGGAACUGUCAAGCUAGAGUGCAGGAGAGGAAGGUAGAAUUCCCGGUGUAGCGGUGAAAUGCGUAGAGAUCGGGAGGAAUACCAGUGGCGAAGGCAGCCUUCUGGACUGACACUGACACUGAGGUGCGAAAGCGUGGGUAGCCAACAGGAUUAGAUACCCCUGUAGUC
rnacentral:rRNA from 1 species